rnacentral:rRNA from 1 species
GAUGAACGUUGGCGACGUGCCUAACACAUGCAAGUCGAGCGGAGAAGAAGAGAGUGAACUUUUCGGAGUGAACUUUUUUCGGAUCAGCGGCGGACGGGUGAGUAAUACAUGAGGAACGUGCCCUCUACAAGGGGAUAGCCGGGGGAAACCGCGAGUAAUACCCUAUGAGACCACGAAAGCGCAUGCUUUUGAGGCUAAAGAUUUAUCGGUAGAAGAUGUAUUCAUGACCCAUUAGCUAGUCGGUGAUUUAACAGACCACCAAGGGGACGAUGGGUAGCCGGGUUGAGGACGUGAACCGGCACCUUAGAACUGGCACCCGGACCAGACCCCUACGAGUGGAAGCAGUGGUGAACAAUGAACGAUGGGGGAAACCCUGAUGCAGCCACGUCGUGUGAGCGAAGAAGGACUUAGGGUCGUAAAGCUCUGUCCUAUGGGAAGAAAAGGACGGUACCAUAGAAGAAAGCCCCGGCUAACUACGUG